rnacentral:rRNA from 1 species
GUGUCAGCCGCCGCGGUAAUACGUAGGCAGCAAACGUUGUUCGGAAUUACUGGGCGUAAAGAGUGUGUAGGCGGUUAGGUAAGUUUGGUGUGAAAUCUCCCGGCUUAACUGGGAGGGUGCGCCGAAAACUGCCUGGCUUGAGUACUGGAGAGGAUAGCGGAAUUCCUGGUGUAGCGGUGAAAUGCGUAGAUAUCAGGAGGAACACCUGCGGUGUAGACGGCUAUCUGGACAGUAACUGACGCUGAGACACGAAAGCGUGGGGAGCAAACAGGAUUAGAUACCCCAGUAGUCC